AUGCAUAGAGUGCCCCAGCUGACCACCCCGUGGGCUAGUAGAGACCUGCAGAGAGCCUGGGAGAAAACCUACCAGAACCACAGGAAAAAGGUCCAGAACGCCCAACCACUCGUGGACACCCGCCCACCACAGACUUACAGCCACCUCCACCUAAAGUUCAAGAAGUUGAAGAUGGAGGAAGAGAGACUCUCCAUCAUUGACAGAAACAACUACCUGCUUCUGCAGAGGGUGGCCUCCGCCAUGAAAACCGGGAGACGGAUUGAUGGGCAAAAUAACUUCACAUGGAGAAGAUCAUAA
rnacentral:lncRNA from 14 species